AUUUAUUCCCUACCAAUAAAGUAUAGAAUUUGGAGUCCUGUUUCCCAUGAAUCUUUGCAUGACAUCCAGCAUCUGGGCAUUUUUGUUCUGAAAGAGUUUUUGAUGACAGAAUUUUUUAAACUUGUAUUUUUCACAGGUUCUGGUUAAUUUUUCAUGUCUGAGAUAACAAAUGAGGUUGAACACUGCCUGUACAUUUAACAGCCAUUUGUCUCUCCGCUGAGACCGGUCUUUCCCUGUCCCUGCUCUCCCCUCCAUCGCAGUGUUUGUCUUUGUGCUUUUGAUUCACACGAGCUUCUUAUAAAUGAAAGAAAUUAAUCCUUGCACGUCGUACACGCGUGGUUUUUUUCAUAGGGAAAUGUUGAAGGUGGCCAUGGGAUUGGUGCCACAGAAUGCUGUCUUCGCUGUCUAUUAUUUCCACAGUUAGGGCUUCGUUCAAUUAGAGAUCAGUGCAAUCUAGGCUUGUAAUUUCUUGUAAUGUUUUAUGGAUUGUCAUGCAUUUAACCCAUCUGGAAUUCAGUGCAUCAUUCAUUCAUUUAUUAAUUUCUCCCUUUAACAAACAUUUAUUUUGCUCCAAUUAUGCAUCAGACCCUUAAUGUGAAGUGAGAAUCUUAACUUGAUAUUCCCCUCAACUGACUUAGUUAUAUUUCUCUAUGAUUACUUAUCGCGUCCUCAAUUGCUUCUUUAUUACAUUUUAAAAUUUAUAUUAAAUUUAUUAAAUAUUAACAUAUGCUGCAUGGAUGUUUAUCUCGUCGAUACGGUCGCUUAUUUGUUUUUAUUAAAUAUUAAAUAAAUUUGCUAAUUGUGCUGUUUAUUCGAUAGCACAUAAAUUUAAUAAUUGAAUCUACAUGACACUUGACACGCUUGGCGCUGUUUCUUAUUCAUUUGCCUUUGAUUCCCACAGGUCCUCCUCCUUCUGAUGACUGCAGCUCUAAGUUUCAUUUGAAAGACAGACAGGCAUUGCUUCUUCUCAUUGCUCAUCUAGACUUUGUUGAAUCGAAAGCCAUCGGAGUUAUUUCAUCAGGGAAUUUAUACGUACAGAAGGUUAGAAGUCCUGGGUGGAUGCUGUCCUGUCUUCUCUGCGUGACACAGGGUGGCAUAUCCACAUAUGCAUGCCCAAGAUCACACCCGAGCUGGGUCUGUUCGCUUCUAUGGGUAUUUCCACCAGGCCCUGUUGCUGUCCCUUUAAUUUACACAGCUCAUCUGGGAUGCGGGAUUGUUUAUUAACUUGUUAUGAAUUAUGAAUUCGGUCUCCGGGUCUCAGGUUUUUGUCUUUGGUGAUACAUAGUCACUGGCCCAGUUUCUGUAGAAAUCUGGAACCACUUUGAUGUGGGGUGGCAGUGUAGCAGGUGAGGCACCGGCCCCUCCACACGCCUUUGAAAUAGGCAUAGGGCCCUAGAGGUGGGGGAAAUUGGGGCGUUCAAACGAUCUCCGUUUCAUCUCAGAUAACCCCUUGAAUGAUGCAAGAUUAAGCAGAAUCUGUCACUCGCAUCAACUUGAGAGUGUUUUUCUAUAAACAGAUAGCUUUUCAUUCUUGCGCUCACCGAAUUCCACAUCUUUACCAUCUGGCCUUAUGCUCUUUGGGGUUGAGCGUUUCUUCUUUUCCUUUGUAUAUCAUGAUUUUUCUUCACUCUCUUUUCCGGUUUUAUGCUCCUGGUUUGUGCAGCCUUGCAAAUUUCUUGGUUCCCUUUUGCGAAACAAAUGAUGUUGUUAUUAUUUUGCGGUUGCUUUCUUCUCCGUAGUUUGGGAGACUGUCUCAACCGAAGACAUCCCGGCUCUAAUCUGAGGGAAGCUUUGCCCUCAGGCGAUCCUGAAUUGACAGGUGGGAAGUGCGUCAGUCUGGGCUUGCAGGCUGGGCUACACUUCUCACCAGGGUCCAGAGUCUCAGUAAGAUCUCGACUCCAGAUGUGUCCAUGAUGUUUGGUAUCGGCCUCACAUCUUCCCCAGGGCUUAGAGAAAGAGACGUCCCAGAAGACUAGAAAGACCACGCAGAGGAGCCGGCCUCCUUUUUCUGUGAAUUCAAAGAAAUGGCGAGUUUUCUCUUGACUCUUUGACACACUCACCGCAUCGUGUGAACCCUGGGCUGGCGUGGGUGUCGGGAGCUUCUGAGAACACAGGUG
rnacentral:lncRNA from 1 species